rnacentral:rRNA from 1 species
AGAACGAACGCUGGCGGCAUGCCUAAUACAUGCAAGUCGAACGAACUCUUCGGAGUUAGUGGCGCACGGGUGCGUAACGCGUGGGAAUCUGCCCCUUGGUUCGGAAUAACAGUUGGAAACGGCUGCUAAUACCGGAUGAUGACGAAAGUCCAAAGAUUUAUCGCCAAGGGAUGAGCCCGCGUAGGAUUAGCUAGUUGGUGAGGUAAAGGCUCACCAAGGCGACGAUCCUUAGCUGGUCUGAGAGGAUGAUCAGCCACACUGGGACUGAGACACGGCCCAGACUCCUACGGGAGGCAGCAGUAGGGAAUAUUGGACAAUGGGCGCAAGCCUGAUCCAGCAAUGCCGCGUGAGUGAUGAAGGCCUUAGGGUUGUAAAGCUCUUUACCCGAGAUGAUAAUGACAGUAGUCGGGAAGAAGUAACGCCCCGGACUAACCGUCCGCCGCCAGCACGCCGAC